CCUACGGGAGGCAGCAGUGAGGAAUAUUGGUCAAUGGGCGGAAGCCUGAACCAGCCAAGUAGCGUGCAGGAUGACGGCCCUACGGGUUGUAAAAUGCUUUUAUACGGGAAUAACGCGCCUUACGUGUAGGGCUUUGCAUGUACCGUAUGAGUAACGACCGGCUAAUUCCGUCCCAGCAGCCGCGUUAAUACGGGAGGUCCGGGGGUUAUCCGGAUUUAUUGGGUUUAAGGGGAGCGUAGGCCGGUCGUUAAGCGUGCCGUGAAAUUUUGUGGCUCAACCAGGUGAGUGCGGCGCAAACUGGAGACCUUGAGCGCGCGGAAGGCAGGCGGAAUUCGUGGUGUAGCGGUGAAAUGCUUAGAUAUCACGAAGAACCCCGAUUGCGAAGGCAGCCUGCCGCAGCGUGACUGACGCUGAAGCUCGAAAGCGCGGGUAUCGAACAGGAUUAGAUACCCCAGUAGUC
rnacentral:rRNA from 1 species